UGGGGAAUAUUGCACAAUGGGCGCAAGCCUGAUGCAGCAACGCCGCGUGAGUGAUGAAGGCCUUCGGGUCGUAAAGCUCUGUCCUAUGGGAAGAAAAAAAUGACGGUACCAUAGGAGGAAGCCCCGGCUAACUACGUGCCAGCAGCCGCGGUAAUACGUAGGGGGCAAGCGUUAUCCGGAAUCACUGGGCGUAAAGGGUGCGUAGGUGGCUGAUCAAGCCAGGGGUGAAAGGCAUUGGCUCAACCAAUGUAAGCCUUUGGAACUGAUCGGCUUGAGUGCAGGAGAGGUAAGUGGAAUUCCUAGUGUAGAGGUGAAAUUCGUAGAUAUUAGGAGGAACACCAGUGGCGAAGGCGACUUACUGGACUGUAACUGACACUGAGGCACGAAAGCGUGGGGAGCGAACA
rnacentral:rRNA from 2 species